GAUGAAGAACGUAGCGAAAUGCGAUAAGUAAUGUGAAUUGCAGAAUUCAGUGAAUCAUCGAAUCUUUGAACGCACAUUGCGCCCGCCAGUAUUCUGGCGGGCAUGCCUGUUCGAGCGUCAUUUCAACCAUCAAGCCCUGCUUGCGUUGGGGUCCUGCGGCUGCCCGCAGGCCCUGAAAACCAGUGGCGGGCUCGCUAGUCACACCGAGCGCAGUAAUACAUCUCGCUUUGGGCGUGCGGCGGGUUCUUGCCGUUAAACACCCCCUUUUUACCAAGGUUGACCUCGGAACAGGUAGGAAUACCCGCUGAACUUAAGCAUAUCAAUAAGCGGAGGA
rnacentral:misc_RNA from 1 species